GACAGAGGUGCCGAGCGUUAGGCGGAAUCACUGGGCUUAAAGCGUGUGUAGGCGGAUCGUUAAGUACCUUGUGAAAUCCCAUGGCUCAACCAUGGAACUGCUUGGUAUACUGGCGGUCUUGAGCCAGCUAGGGGCUACCGGAACAAAUGGUGGAGCGGUGAAAUGCGUAGAUAUCAUUUGGAACGCCAAUGGUGAAAACAGGUAGCUGGGGCUGUGCUGACGCUGAGACACGAAAGCCAGGGGAGCGAACGGG
rnacentral:rRNA from 1 species